UGGGGAAUUUUGGACAAUGGGCGAAAGCCUGAUCCAGCAAUGCCGCGUGUGUGAAGAAGGCCUUCGGGUUGUAAAGCACUUUUGUCCGGAAAGAAAUCCUUGGCUCUAAUACAGUCGGGGGAUGACGGUACCGGAAGAAUAAGCACCGGCUAACUACGUGCCAGCAGCCGCGGUAAUACGUAGGGUGCAAGCGUUAAUCGGAAUUACUGGGCGUAAAGCGUGCGCAGGCGGUUUGCUAAGACCGAUGUGAAAUCCCCGGGCUCAACCUGGGAACUGCAUUGGUGACUGGCAGGCUAGAGUAUGGCAGAGGGGUUAGAUCGNNNGUGUAGCAGUGAAAUGCGUAGAGAUGUGGAGGAAUACCGAUGGCGAAGGCAGCCCCUGGGCCAAUANUGACCGCGUCAUGCACGAAAGCGU
rnacentral:rRNA from 1 species